GUUGAAGUAGUUUAUUAAAAACCCUGAAUUGUGAUUUCAGAGAUACAGACACCUGUCUUUAACC
rnacentral:tRNA from 1 species